GACGAACGCUGGCGGCGUGCCUAACACAUGCAAGUCGAGCGAGCGGCGGACGGGUGAGUAAUGUAUGGGGACUGCCCGAUAGAGGGGGAUAACUACUGGAAACGGUGGCUAAUACCGCAUACUAUCGGAUAACCCAUAUGGGAUUAGCUAGUAGGUGGGGUAAAGGCUCACCUAGGCGACGAUCUCUAGCUGGUCUGAGAGGAUGAUCAGCCACACUGGGACUGAUACACGGCCCAAGCUCCUACGGAGGCAGCAGUGGGGAAUAUUGCACAAUGGGCGCAAUCCUGAUGCAGCCAUGCCGCGUGUAUGAAGAAGGCCUUAGGGUUGUAAAGUACUUUCAGCGGGGAGGCGUUACCCGCAGAAGAAGCACCGGCUAACUCCGUGCCAGCCGCCGCGGUAAUUC
rnacentral:rRNA from 1 species